UACAGAGGGGGCAAGCGUUAUUCGGAAUUAUUGGGCGUAAAGGGCGCGUAGGCGGCUACACAAGUGGCGGGUGAAAUCCCUCGGCUUAACCGAGGAACUGCCUGCCAGACUGUGUGGCUUGAGACCGGGAGAGGUGAGUGGAAUUCCCAGUGUAGCGGUGAAAUGCGUAGAUAUUGGGAGGAACACCAGUGGCGAAGGCGACUAGCUGGGCCGUAACUGACGCUGAGGCGCGAAAGCGUGGGGAGCAAACAGG
rnacentral:rRNA from 1 species